UACGUAGGGUGCAAGCGUUAUCCGGAAUUAUUGGGCGUAAAGAGCUCGUAGGCGGUUUGUCGCGUCUGCUGUGAAAACUGGAGGCUCAACCUCCAGCCUGCAGUGGGUACGGGCAGACUAGAGUGCGGUAGGGGAGAUUGGAAUUCCUGGUGUAGCGGUGGAAUGCGCAGAUAUCAGGAGGAACACCGAUGGCGAAGGCAGGUCUCUGGGCCACUACUGACGCUGAGAAGCGAAAAGCAUGGGGAGCGAACAGG
rnacentral:rRNA from 1 species